CUGUAUUUCUUGCUUAACUGCACCAUAAACGUUUAAAGGGGGAAAGACCUUUUGUAGCUGGAAGAUCGCGGCAGUGCCAGACUUUGUUCUACUGCAUGGCUACAACCCAGCCCUGCACCUUGGUUCAUUGAAAAACUUGGUAUUUCAAGCAGGAAGAGCCAUGAAAUUUAUAGAAAGCAUGCUCAGAGACAGCAAAAAAAUGAUGUAGUAAUCAUCCUGGUCAUUCUGAACUUUGAAGCCAUUGGCACUAGAAAUCAGGAAAUUUUUCAGUAUCUGCUCUGCGUCCUUAUUUUGUUUUAUUUUCUUUGUUGGUAGACUCAAAACCACAAAUGCAGCAGCAGAAGAGAAGAACACAGUAUUCUGUGCCAAGAUGGGGUAGAGUGGAGUUCUUUUCUAAACUGCAUGAGGUAUUCAUCAAGAAUGAAAAAGACUCUUGAAAAAUUAAUGGUUGCAGAGACAAAGGCUAAUGACUCCUUCCACAGGAAAAUGUGUGCCCACCAGUGCACAGUUGGAAUAGUUUUGAGAUAGAAGUGUGUACACUUUAACAGCCCUGUUCCUGUUCCCUCACUGAAUAAUGGGACUGAUUUGGGUUAAGAUAUUAACAUUUGGGAAGAGGGAUGGUAUUUUUAAUGCAGGUAAUUUUCCCAUUCCAGCCUAUCAUGCUGUACCUCAUGCACUUUCUUUUUAGGCUGAAUUUUCUCAUUAUCAAAACAAUUAAAGAGUCAUGAUGGUAAAACUCUUUUAAAGAGACAUUUCUUUUCCCACAGGCAGGCACUGAAUUUUGCUAAAAAGGGUUCUAGAUAUAUUAUUCUGAUGAAUACAGUCACACAGCUUCAAUAGGAAGGAAAAAUUACAAGUAAUUAAACUUUCACUCCAAAAUUUAGCACUUUUGGUUCAAGAUGCAAAGUAAUUAGGUAAGGCUGAUAACCCCAGAGGGUUAUUGUGAAGAAUAUAUAGUAUAUCAUAUAAAAUAAAGUAGCAGUCUGAAUGCAAAGAUAGUGAAAUAAAAUAGGAAUAUUUCUGUGUGUACCAAGAUAACCGAAAAUAUAUCUCCUAUAUUUAAUUUUAAAACAUCACACAGUUCUCACUCUUUAGCAUUCUUAUAAGAAAUAACAACAGCAGGCACUCUUUGCAAGUCAACCUUAAAGCAAAAUAUAUUGGAUUUUUUCCUACAAAAUGCUCAAAAUUUAUUAGAUUUAUUUUUCCUUUAAUGUAAAAGUUAUCAGAACAAUCCUAACUAUUUACUUGAAGACUUUGGAAUUUAUAUCUAUGCAUUAUUCUUUUAUGAAGACACAAUCAUGUAGGAGACCUCAAGUGGAUCAAGGACACUCACUGGGCUGCAGAUCCAUGGGAGAGCAGGGGCUGUGCUGUGCUUGAAGGGGUUUUCCAUCUUAAAUUCUGCAGCUUUAGAAUGAUCUGCUCCCAAAUGUAUUUUCUUUUACGAAUUUGGUAUUUCAGUGGGCAGGCAGUUUAAAACCAACAGUAUCUAAUGAGAUUUUUAAAGCAUUAUGCAAACAUAUUAGCUACAGCAUAGUUCUAAGAUGCUCACACCCAGCAGCACACACUUAGGAGCAAUUAUUUAUACCAAUCACUACUUUAUAUUUAUUCCUUCCACAAAAUGCACAUAAAUUAUAAUACAUCACAUAAUCUCUUGCUGUUAUAAAAUAGCACUCGUGUCCCUCACCCCCUCCACUGGCUUAUUUCUUGUGGGUUUGGGGCCUGUUUUGUUUUCUGGAUGGAGAAUAUCAGGUCUCCUACAAGUGAAUAUGGAAAUGACAGAUCUUUGUUGCAGCAGCAGUAACAGGUGCUCCUCUAAUGCUGCUUAUUACCCUAUUCCUUCAUUAUUAGACAUUUACAAUCCUAUCAUAUCCAGUGCUGUAAUGCUCCUUUUAAUUUAUUGUACAACCAUGAUGAAUAAAGAGACUUUUAGGACUAACCAUUUCAUAAACAAGAAAUGAAACUGUUCCAGCUCAGGCAUCUUUCACAUAAACAGAUGCUAUGCCAUAAACUUCUUUGUUUUGUGUUGCUUUAUAGGGAUGACAUCUGUUUGACAAGAGAUUGCUGUACUGCAGUGGUGCUGCAAUUUGAUUAUAAAUUGAUUCUGAAAUAAUUUAAGCAUUCCACAGUAUGAGUUAAUAAAAGUUUAAAAGGAGAACUGUUUUCAUCCAAGCCCCAUUACUAAAUUUCACGUGGGGUAAACAAUUGAAGUGCAUGGCUGGAACACUUGUAUAAGGUAAUAGUAAGAAAAAAAUAUUUAUAAAAACAUUUCUAAAUUAACUGAAAGCAGGCAGAUUUCUUGAACAGGGGCUUCCCUUUCAUGAAAGUCAAAUUACAAAAUCAGGAUAUAAACUAUAAAACCACCUCAUUAAACAUACUAAUUUCAAAAGCAGAUAGGACUAUUGAUUUUCACAUUACCAGUCCCAUUACCAGGAGUUCAGCUCAAAAAGUACAGUAUUUCUCCAAACCUGCCAUGUUUCAGGCAUUGCAAGGUAGUUAUUCCUGUAUCACGACAUCUUUAGGAACACUGGUUUACAGCACACAAAACACUGUCAGAAGUAACAGUCCAAGCUGUGCUUGUAGAUAUUAGUAACUUACUAAAGUAACAGUGUUUUAUUUCCUGUCACUUCCAUUGAACAUUUAUGCUACUGCUUCUGCAGAAACCCCCAGUAUGUAACAGGAAAGGUUCCCACUCCCACAGACCCUCCCUGGCCACUUCCCUUCUCCCCUGGCUUUCAAUGGCUCUCUCAGGCUUAGGUCCUGGGGAGGUACUGAGCAGUACAGAUCAAUUCCUGAAUUUAAAUGCCUUCUGCAUUGAUGAGAGCAGAAGGGAGCUGGGAGGGUACCUCCGGUACCUUCCACCUGAGGUUGAUAUGGAAAUUAACUUUCAACUUGUACACUGAAAGCCAGAGGAGGAGGCAGUGGGAGCUGAGAACUCAUUCUGGUCUGACAUGUAUCAAGUUGUUUUGGGCGAACCACUGCCCAUCCUGGCUCCUGCUGGUCAGUGCCUUUUUUCACAAGAAAUUGCAUCCAUUUCAACCACUUUUGCACUCACUGAGCAGCUGUAGAGGAAAGAGUAGAACACAGAGAUCUCCACAGCAACCUAAGUACCAUUAGAGUGCACAUUUUGCUGUCUAAACAAACGAGGGAGCACAGAUAGGACAGAAAAGAGCUUUGUGCACAAAAUGGGAAUACUUCAGCUCACAGUUGUUCAGAGACUAUCUAAUUACUACUAUUUAUCCAUAAUGCUCUAAAAUUGCAAAAUGCUAAUAAUUAGUGUUGCCUUCAAAAUAAAAAUGCUGUAAAUAUUUUCAGUAGAUGUAACUCACCAGAGAAGAGGAUGCAUUCACACUGCCAUGAUACAUAGUGGCUUUCCAGGACACAAAAGGGAUUUUAAGGCCACAUUUGCUCCUAAACUUCAGAAUUUGGUUAUUUUUUCCCCUAUUUGAUUACCUUAAUGCCUCAAGAGUUUGUUGGGUUUGUUUUUGUUUUGUUCUUUUCUUUCUGUUUAUGUUUAGCAAACAAACCCUAUUAAAUUAGAAGCAGAUACACAGUUAAACAAACACGAGGUUGCUCUAAGCAACCUGGUCUAGUGGGAGGGCUUGGAAAGAGAGGAGCUUUUAAGUCCCUUGCAGCCCAAACCAUUCUAGGUCUCUAUGAAAAUGCACAUCUACUGUUACCCAGGCAACUCUUACAGAUACAGGUUGCAUUUAGAAUGUCUUACAUUUGCCUCGCUAGGGCUUAAAUAAAUUACUCAUUUUGACAUUACCAUAAUUAAACAGAAAUUUCUAAAUUCAGAAGGGAUGGCAGUGUAUGCAUAUGCUGACAGUAAACUACAUUACCAUGGUGAGUUUAAAAAAAAAGCUUUAUUUUGUUUAGGUCAUUUGGAAACUACUAUAGCUGCUGAAGAAAGGAAGGAAGGAAAAAAAGAUUUUCUCCUUAAAAAUCCAGAAUAAUAUUGCAUAUAAGUUGUUUUUCACAAGAAGGGUUUAAUUACUGGGGCUAAAAAUAUAUCAGCUAACAAUAAACACCACCUCAAGACUGACUAUGGUAAAUUCUGCCCUCUGGAAAGAACAUACAUUUAAGGUUAUGAUCAGGCAUGAAAGCAUUUCAGCACAAGAGAUCUUAAAACCAGUCACACAAAUACAGCAAACAAGUAAUGUUAUGAGUGAAUUUUGUAAUAUCAAGUGUAAAUA